GUUUGCACUCAUCGGGGAAGGGUGAGAACCUUCGACUAAGGUUCGAUUCGAGCGAAAGCGGGAGAACGUUGCCACAGGCAACGGCCCGAAGGGUGAGGAGCGAAGCGACGAAUAAUCCUUCCCCCACCACCA
rnacentral:sRNA from 1 species